AACGAACGCUGGCGGCAUGCCUAACACAUGCAAGUCGAACGAGACCUUCGGGUCUAGUGGCGCACGUGUGCGUAACGCGUGGGAACCUGCCCUUAGGUUCGGAAUAACUCCCCGAAAGGUGUCCUAAUACCGGUUAAUGUCUUCGGACCAAAGAUUUAUCGCGUUUGGAUGGGCCCGCGUUGGAUUAGCUGGUUGGUAGGGUACAAGCCUACCAAGGCGACGAUGCAUAGCUGGUCUGAGAGGAUGAUCAGCCACACUGGGGCUGAGACACGGCCCAGUCUGCUACGGAAGGGAGCAGUGGAGAAUAUUGGACACUGAGCGAAAGCCUGAUACAGCAAUGCCGGGUGAGUGAUGAAGGCCUUAGGGUUGUAAAGCUCUUUUACCCGAGAUGAUAAUGACAGUACCGGGAGAAUAAGCACCGGCUAACUACGUG
rnacentral:rRNA from 1 species